GUUGAUUAGCAAAAAAAAAAACAGGUCUUCAAUUUCCAGUGAAAAAUCCCUAGCAAAUCGAAAGAUUUCUGUGCUGCCGUCGGGGGAGGGGGGGUUAGCGCGGACGAUUUAAGAGGGGGGGUUAUUUGGGCUUACACCCCCCUGUGCCCAUGUAUGAUCCCUUGUAUGGCAUACAUUCCCUGUUAGGUGGUUACGAGUUUUUGAUAAAAAUUAGGUUUUAGACGUCGACAAGGUUCACUAUGGUUACUUGUCGAACACCAUCCCUGUAAAUCACAAAUUCCUAUAUUACAAUUAAAAAACAAUUAACUGAUUCCAAAAAAUUAUUAUGAUGGACAUUUCAUGUACAUAUUGGGAAUCGAAUCAGGAAUGAAAACCUGGAAUGCUACGGUCCGACUCUGAUGAAUUUUAAAAUAAAUAGCAAAAAAUACCACUACUACCAAACAGGGAGUGCGAAACUCAAAGGUAUUUGAACAGAAUGAUCGAAAUAACCGAACUCGUUACGAAUGCCGACUCCAAAGGCAGAAAACUGGAAAAAUUACAUAACUCAUCGUCUGACAAUUAUGAAGAGAGCCAUUGCAGUGUACACGACCGAAAAGUAUACCCGGCUACAAUUCGAUAAAUACAUUGAAUCAAAUCGUGUAUGCGAUAAGUUUGCUGCCAUGCUGACAAAUCGCAAACCAUGCAUCAUUUUCAUGGGAGCGGCACAAAUAUCGCCGAACUCGGCGAUAAAGAUAAAGAAGAACAUAAGAUGUCCAGACAAUCGAAAUAUUAAAAAAUAAGUGAAGAAAACUUUUUAUUCUGAUACAAAUUUAACGUGAUUUUAUUUAUAAAAUGCUAACGUUUUCGGAAACAAUGUUUCCAUCAUCAGGCGAGCUAUAAAUCUGAAAUCUGUACAAAAAUUGUGUCAUAUGUUUACUACAAUUAGAAAAAUUAGUUGAUAUUUAAAAUUAUGAUACAAAUUUGAAAAGAGAAAAAUAGAAAAAUAAUUAUGGUUACAUUGAUGACAAUAUUAAGUAAUGGUAUUUAUAUUGAAAUAGAUUUAAAUUCAAAUAAAAAUUAUAGAUCCGAUGAAAGUAGGCGCCCACAUAUUGAAUAUGUAAUCUGUUGUAAUUGGUGAUGUUAAUUUGUACAGAGAAGUUUGUACUUGCGUAUUUUGGAUGUCCAUGUUAUGACCCAUAAAACAAAACAAAGAUCAUAUCAUAUCAUCGGGGAUCACUGCAAUAUGAAUACAAAUACAACAUAGGCGGCGUUCAAAUUGAAAGAGUCUUUAUAAUAAGGGACUUGGGAGUGUUGCUUGAUGUGCAAAUGAAUUUCAAAUCACACAUUGAGCAUGUCACGGCUAAAGCCAAAUCAAGACUGGCUUGGUUAAAGUUCUACGGCAAGGAUUUCGUCGAUCCAUGGACGCCUUUAUUUUACAUUUGUAUUACCAAUCAUCGAAUAUGGAUCGGAAAUAUGGAAUCCACACUACGACAAUAUGUGCAAAAGAAUAGAGCCAAUACAAA